CCCACCCCCCAGAUGUCAAAAGGAAAAAAAAAACUAGCCCACUCCCCCGGUUCGUUCCUCUCUCCCUCCGGCCCCGAUGCUUCACAUCUCGUCAUUGCGGCGGAGGCAGCGGCAGCGACGGCACCGGACGGACGACCCGGCGGCGAGGACUACCUCUCUCGCGUGUGGAGUAGUUCCCUUUCCUCUCUCAUGCGGUAGCAACUCGGAGGCGCCGUGGGCGGUGCAAGAUCCGGGCGAGCUCGGCAGGACAACGGCGUUCUCCGGCGUCCCUCUCCAGCGUCGACGGUAUUAUCGCCAGCAAACCAAUAAUUGAAAUUCUGCCAAUAAAUCUAGGAGCAGAAGAAGAUGUAUGCAAGGGACUUGGAGACAAGACAAUGGUUUGAAGCUUUGGGCGCCUGCGGCCGGCUCGACAGGUGGCAUCAGCAAGCGCCGGCCGGCCUCGGCACUACUGCGGGUGGUUAUAUGGUGCGCGGAGCACACCAGUGGGCUUCAACGUCAGGGUACAGUGGCGAGCUAAAUCCUGAGUCCAGCUAGGCUUUUUUUGGUUCAGGUUUUGUUACUGUUUUCCAUUCGGGAUUUUGUGGUUGCCAAACCUAGCAUUUGCAGUUGUUUGUUUCAGAAAUUCAUGUCCCAACAUCAAAUUUUGAUAAGGAAAUCCUGCCAACAAAUCGAUGUUAUGGGCUUACUAGUCAGAUGAAUACUUUCUAUUUUAUUCAGGGAUACAUUCAGCAUGCUUGUGAGGUACACAUUUUUCACGUCCAGUUAGAAGUGUUUGCUUGAUUUGUCGCCCAAGUUUCCUAUUCUAAUCAUGCUCCUUCACUUCAAUACAACGCUGGCAUGUAGGAUGAAUAGCUAUGCAAAUUAUCAUGCACAAAUUAAAAAAAUAGCUUCGCUCUUCUUCUGCAUGUCUCCAAGGCAUAAUUUCUGAUCUAUCAUGAGAUAAUGAUUAUUUCUUCUUCUUUCUUAUCAUGCGGCUAGUUGCUAUGAAAAUUUAACACAUACAUCAGCCUUUUGUCAUUGAAACAAAAUCAUAUCUGCCAAGUUUCUACAUUCCGUCGAAGCUUGCAAAUUUACCAUCUAAGUUGGCACAUUUAUUGAAACAAACCGUAACCAUGGAUUUUAUAUGGAAGAUCAACAUAUCAUCUUUACAUUAGAUUCAUGUAUACUGUAAGGAAUUGAUUUUGUUCAUCUUCAUUCCAUUUUCCUAUCUUGCAAAGCUGUCCAUUCAAGUAUGAUCAAUUUCUACUCUGUGACUUAAUACAUUUGUAACAAUGGCAUAGUGCCAUUGACAUGCUUUUCUUUUUCGUCCCGUUUAAUAUUGAUUCAUCUACAUGGUUAUAUGCAUGCCUUUGCAUACAUUACUUAUCCAGUCUGCUAUUGAUCAUUUCUAUUUUUCAUCCUGGCAGUACGCUGAUAGCUUAUCCAGUCUGCUAUUGAUCAUUUCCAUUUUUCACCCCGGCAGUAUGCCGAUAGCUAUAAUUGAGUCAAUAGUUCCAAAAUGUUGCUUCAUAAUUAUUUGUCUAUUUGGGCAGCACAUGGAUGGCUUCGGUGGGUGCCAUGGCCUUUCCAUUCUGAAUUGAAGUUGGUCCAAAAAUGUCAAACUCUGCCAUGGAACAAAAAAGAUAUAACUUACCUUCAUAUGGUUGAUUCUUCUUAGUCUUCCUUUUGUGAAGCUGUGUAGCAAUCUUCCUUUUCCUAUCUGUAAUUAGAUUUUCUUAGGAAUACUCUCCAUUUUCUUAGGAACACGACGUUGUUUCGAUGCCUCCAAAUGCAGCAGCAACAGAGCCGGAAGAAUAUCGAUGGCAAGGUGAGCGACAUCUGGCAGAUUGUGAACAGAGGCCACGGAAGGUGGCUGGAACCCCAACGUGGCCCCAAAAUCAACCACCAACGGGCAGGCAGAGAGGAGGUGACUCGCCGACUGCAGCGGGGCAUGGCGGAGUGGGCAACUAUUCCACGCUCUAAAAUUCAGGUUUAUAGCAAUGAAAAAGGUGAUUUUGUUCCUCAAUCAUGCUUAACAUUUCUUUAGCAAACAAGCACUAGCAGCCUGUUUUCAGAUGUGCUUCUUGUUGGUUCAUGUAGACAUGCCAAUGAAGGCCUGGUAAAGUAGAACAGAAAAAAAAAUACAGUAUAUUGGUUUAAUUGUUCUCUUGUGUAGACCAAAAUUAGCGAGUAAAGGAAAUACGGUUUUGCUUCCAAAUUCUUUCUGCGAGCUUAUCCCAGGAAUAAUGUUUUGUUCCUAUUUGAAUUGGAACGUGUGACUUCCGGAGGCUACUCUUCCAUCCGAUGUUGCUGUUCAACAGCUCUCAAAGGCACAGAGCAAAUCAGUCGGGCUUCGACCAGAUGUCCAUCUCCAGAACCUUGAUUCCUAAUCCUACAGAGCUCUAUUCUGGCAAGUAGUACAUGUAAUUAGUUCUUGGAGGGUAUGCAGAUUGAAUUGCUAUAUUGCAGUCUGGACUACUGCAAUUUUUUGAUAACCAUGAUCUGGAUGUAGAUAAUUUUGAGAAAGCAUACUUCUUUCCAUGUGCAUAUAGGCUUUAUGGGAUUAGUCUCUCUAUCAUCAGUUCUUCCAGUAUUUGACUGAACCCUCUUAAAUUCUAAUUUAAGCAAUUUAUCAAUCCAUCUCAUGGGAGAAGAUCUGUGUUUGGUUCAGUCAAAUGUCUUACAUUUCCUUCAAAUCUACUACUAGUGUCAAAAACGCUCUUAUAUUGUGGGACGGAGGGAGUAUCUUAUUUCUGUAACAUUCUGACCUAUAUAUGAGAAUUAUGUAGCUCCUUUAUUAUGACA